rnacentral:lncRNA from 1 species
AUUCUGCUCAUUAAUUUACCGAGCGUUUCCAGCCCAGGUUCCGACAACCUCCUCUGAAUCUUCUCUUCAUUAGCAGUCUUCGAUUCUCUCUCGGCCAAGCUCACCAAACCCUAGGAAUCUGAGAUGUUCGCCCGAGAAGAAAAAAAAACUCGAACAGUGGUUUUUGACAUGAAAUCUUUGGGCUUUUUCCUCUGUUUCUUGUAUGUAAUUUUCUGAGUUUUCUUGGAAUGUUAUUUUGUUGAAUGGGUCUCGAACAGUUCAAGAGGAUUUGAAGGGGAGGAGAAGAAGCAAUUCUGAUAAUGGUACUUUAGUCCUACAAAUUUGUGUUAUUU